rnacentral:tRNA from 1 species
AUUCUUUUAGUAUCAAUCAGUACAACUGACUUCCAAUCAGUUAGUUCCAGCAUAAUCUGGAAAAGAAUA